rnacentral:rRNA from 1 species
AAUCAACGCUGGCGGCGUGCCUCAGACAUGCAAGUCGAACGCGAAAGUUUCCUUCGGGAAACCGGUAGAGUGGCGCACGGGUGAGUAACACGUGGGUAAUUUACCUUUGGGUGGGGAAUAACAGUCGGAAACGACUGCUAAUACCGCAUAAUGCAGCGGCAGCUCAUGCUGACAGUUGUUAAAGCGGGGGAUCUGCAAAGACCUCGCGCCUAAAGAGAAGCCCGCGGCGGAUUAGCUAGUUGGUGAGGUAAUGGCUCACCAAGGCGUCGAUCCGUAGCCGGCCUGAGAGGGCGGUCGGCCACACUGACACUGAAUAACGGGUCAGACUCCUACGGGAGGCAGCAGUCGGGAAUUUUGGGCAAUGGGCGAAAGCCUGACCCAGCAACGCCGCGUGAAGGAUG